rnacentral:rRNA from 1 species
AGCAGCCGCGGUAAUUCCAGCUCCAAUAGCGUAUAUUAAAGUUGUUGCAGUUAGAAAGCUCGUAGUUGAACUUCGGGGUUUACCCAUUGGUCAGGCUUAAUUGUCUGCACUGGUGAGAUGAAUCUCUACCUUCUGAGGAACUUUUAUGCCAUUUAUUUGGUGUGAUGGGAAAUCAGGACUGUUACUUUGAAAAAAUUAGAGUGUUUAAAGCAGGCUAACGUCUGAAUACAUUAGCAUGGAAUAAUGAAAUAGGACGGACUGAUUCUAUUUCGUUGGUUUCUAGGAUCACCGUAAUGAUUAAUAGGGAUAGUUGGGGCAUUAGUAUUCAAUUGUCAGAGGUGAAAUUCUUGGAUUUAUUGAAGACUAACAACUGCGAGAGCAUUUGCCAAGGAUGUUUUCAUUAAUCAAGAACGAAAGUUAGGGGAUCGAAGACGAUCAGAUACCGUCGUAGUCUUAACCAUAAACUAUGCCGACUAGGGAUCGGACGAAGUUAAUUUUAUAAUGACGCGUUCGGCACCUUACG